GACGAACGCUGGCGGCGUGCCUAACACAUGCAAGUCAACUUGACUGAAGGAGCAAUCUGACAGUAGAGUGGCGCAAGGGUGCGUAACGCGUAAGUAACUUGCCCAAGGUAAGGAAUAACGUCGAGAAAUCGGCGCUAAUACCUCAUAAUGCAGCGGAUCCGCAUGGAUAUGUUGUUAAAGGUUUACCGCCUUGGGAUAGGCUUGCGUCUGAUUAGCUAGUUGGUGUGGUAACGGCACACCAAGGCUACGAUCAGUAACUGGUCUGAGAGGAUGAUCAGUCACACUGGAACUGAGACACGGUCCAGACUCCUACGGGAGGCAGCAGUGAGGAAUAUUGGGCAAUGCUCGAAAGAGUGACCCAGCAACGCCGCGUGGAGGAUGAAGGUAUUCUAUAUCGUAAACUCCUGUGAGAGCAGACGAAAGACAGAUUAUAAUCUGGAUGACUGAUGCUCAGAGGAAGCCCGG
rnacentral:rRNA from 1 species